UACGUAGGGUGCGAGCGUUGUCCGGAAUUACUGGGCGUAAAGAGCUCGUAGGUGGUUUGUCGCGUUGUUCGUGAAAUCUCACGGCUUAACUGUGAGCGUGCGGGUGGAUACGGGGCUGACUGGAGUGCGGCAGGGGGAGACUGGAAUUCCUGGUGUAGCGGUGGAAAUGCGCAGAUAUCAGGAGGAACACCGGUGGCGAAGGCGGGGUCUCUGGGCCGUAGCUGACGCUGAGGAGCGAAAGCGUGGGGAGCGAACAGG
rnacentral:rRNA from 1 species